UGUAAGCGUAUACCAAAGUUGUUGCAGUUAAAACGCUCGUAGUCGGAAUUUGGCAGUUCCGGAUGUGUGCACGUCGUGUGCGCACUUCGCGGGGAUUGCUUUUGUGGUCUUGCGUAGGAUGAGGCACUUUUAUUAGUGAACGUCCUCACGCAACCACUUUUUACUGUGAGAAAAUCAGAGUGCUCAAAGCAGGCAUUUGCCGUGAAUGUAUUAGCAUGGAAUAAUAGAAUAGGACUUGGUUCUAUUUUGUUGGUUUGUUGGGACUGAGUAAUGAUUAAGGGGGACAGUUGGGGGCAUUUGUAUUCCGGCGCUAGAGGUGAAAUUCUUAGAUUGCCGGAAGACAAACUGCUGCGAAAGCGUCUGCCAAGGAUGUUUUCAUUGA
rnacentral:rRNA from 1 species